ACACCCUGGGCCUUUUCCACCACGGAGCUCCAAGCAAAGAGAAAGAAGACAACGACAAAAAGAAAGGAGAAGGGAAUUGAAAAAGGCUUCUCAGAGAGCUGCACAUAUAGAGUUCUCUGCAGCGAUGAACAGCCUUGCAGAGAUGAUGCAGAAGCUGCAGCUGAAAGACUGAGAGGAGAAACAUCACAAGGCAGCGGCUGCAGUGCGCGGUGUUUCAGUUGCUGCCCAACUCAGUACUUGUAGUUUGAUUGCAGUCAAUCAAUAAACCAUCACAAUUAGAGAUUCACAAAGAGCGCACAGCCUGAUUUGUCCAGUGACACUCCAUGAGC